CAUGGCCUAAUACCUAAACAGUUUUCCUUACACUGAUCAGAUUUGGAGUGCCCUUUCCAGAUGGGAGGGUAGCGUUAUUGUCCUCUGCAAUGCUCCACCAAGCAGCCGACUGACACAGAAGCAGAGGCACAGGGCUUGAUAUCAGAUGGAGCUCAGUGAGUCUCACUGAAAAGCUGAGGGAAGGACUGAGAGAGGCAGAGUUGCACAAUGGUCUUCACGUGGGGUCACUAACCCGUCGCCUGUCUGUGGAUCCUGUUCUCCUACCCGGGCUGCGUUUUCAAGAGCUGGUUGAUGGAUCUUUCUCUUUUCCUAAGAAAAGGCCACUCUGGUUCUCAACUCACUCUUGAAGCCGUGACAGGGUGAGUGAUUAUUAUGUGUGAGGUAAUUUGAUUUCAUGGAUAUAAUAUCCCUUGAAAAACAGGGCUCAACAUUUACUUUCCUUAGUCUGUGAUACC